AGGUACCCCAGAAGGCAGACCUUGAGGAGGAGCCACUGCUUCACAACAGCAAGCUGGACAAAGUUCCUGGGGUGCAAGGGCAGUCCAACCAGCACAGGGACAGGCAGAUGAUGGCACUCCCCGAUGAUCCUGUCCCCACACCUGCGAAAGCCCACCACACUUCAGCAGUGUAAGUGGUCAUCCACCAGCUGUGGAAUACCAACCUUCUGCAGGCCCAAGAGCUGCAGCACCUCAAGUCCCUCCUGGAAGGGAGGCAGAGGCCCCAGGCAGCCCCAAGGCUGACAGCAUCCUGACAGGACAGCGAGCCCAGAUUCAUGGAGAAGGGGACACAGUGAUGAACAACUGACAAACACAGGAAUAAUAAAUUUAUUAUAAUCACA